ensembl:rRNA 5S_rRNA 5S ribosomal RNA
GCCAGCAGCCAUAUCACUCUGCAGCUCACAACUGGCAACCCACUGAAGCUCAGCAGUUGUGAGCCUGGUCAGUACCUGGAUGGGAGACCUCCUGGGAAAAACUAAGAUUGCUGCUGGAA